GUAGGAAGUUCAAUGUUCAGCAUAUGUCACCUGCUCUAUUCUUUUCUAAAUCAUCAAUUUCAGUACAUGAUUCAAGAUUCUCAGAAUGGGCAGCUAUGGAAAAAUUGUACAAAGAUAUGGAGUGCCGAAUCGAUGCGACGAUGAAACAAGGUUACAUUUUAAAAGAGAUAAAGGCAAAGCAUGAAGGCUUUUCAGAAUGGAGCUU